rnacentral:rRNA from 1 species
UACGGAGGGGGCUAGCGUUGUUCGGAAUUACUGGGCGUAAAGCGCACGUAGGUGGCUUUGCAAGUCAGAGGUGAAAGCCCGGGGCUCAACCCCGGAAUUGCCUUUGAGACUGCAUCGCUAGAACGUCGGAGAGGUAAGUGGAAUUCCGAGUGUAGAGGUGAAAUUCGUAGAUAUUCGGAAGAACACCAGUGGCGAAGGCGACUUACUGGACGACUGUUGACACUGAGGUGCGAAAGCGUGGGGAGCAAACAGG